rnacentral:rRNA from 1 species
AGUGAACGCUGGCGGUAGGCCUAACACAUGCAAGUCGAACGGCAGCACAGUAAGAGUUUGCUCUUACGGGUGGCGAGUGGCGGACGGGUGAGGAAUACAUCGGAAUCUACUUUUUCGUGGGGGAUAACGUAGGGAAACUUACGCUAAUACCGCAUACGAUCUACGGGUGAAAGCAGGGGAUCUUCGGACCUUGCGCGAUUGAAUGAGCCGAUGUCGGAUUAGCUAGUUGGCGGGGUAAAGGCACACCAAGGCGACGAUCCGUAGCUGGUCUGAGAGGAUGAUCAGCCACACUGGAACUGAGACACGGUCCAGACUCCUACGGGAGGCAGCAGUAGGGAAUAUUGGGCAAUGGGCGCAAGCCUGAUCCAGCCAUACCGCGUGAGUGAAGAAGGCCUUCGGGUUGUAAAGCCCUUUUGUUGGGAAAGAAAAGCAGCAGAUUAAUACCCCGCUGUUCUGACGGUACCCAAAGAAUAAGCACCGGCUAACUUCGUG